AUACAUGCAAGUCGUACGGGAUUGAGGACUUCGGUUCUCAUGAGAGUGGCGCACGGGUGCGUAACACGUAUGCAACCUACCUUUAUUUGGGGGAUAGCCUUUCGAAAGAGAGAUUAAUACCGCAUAAGACAGUACGUUCGCAUGAACGAGCUGUUAAAGUUUCGGCGAAUAAAGAUGGGCAUGCGUUGCAUUAGCUAGUUGGUAAGGUAACGGCUUACCAAGGCUACGAUGCAUAGGGGAUCUGAGAGGAUGAUCCCCCACACUGGUACUGAGACACGGACCAGACUCCUACGGGAGGCAGCAGUAAGGAAUAUUGGUCAAUGGGCGCAAGCCUGAACCAGCCAUGCCGCGUGCAGGAAGACGGCCCUAUGGGUUGUAAACUGCUUUUNUCGGGGAAUAAACCUCAUUACGUGUAAUGAGUUGAAGGUACCCGAAGAAUAAGGAUCGGCUAACUCCGUGCCAGCAGCCGCGGUAAUACGGAGGAUCCAAGCGUUAUCCGGAUUUAUUGGGUUUAAAGGGUGCGUAGGCGGUUUAUUAAGUCAGUGGUGAAAGCCCGGAGCUCAACUUCGGAACUGCCAUUGAUACUGAUAGACUUGAGUACAGAUGAAGUGGGCGGAAUGUGACAAGUAGCGGUGAAAUGCUUAGAUAUGUCACAGAACACCGAUUGCGAAGGCAGCUCCACUAAAGUGUAACUGACGCUGAGGCACGAAAGCGUGGGGAUCAAACAGGAUUAGAUACCCUGGUAGUCCACGCCCUAAACGAUGAUUACUCGCUGUUAGCGAUAUACAGUUAGCGGCUAAGCGAAAGCGUUAAGUAAUCCACCUGGGGAGUACGGUCGCAAGAUUGAAACUCAAAGGAAUUGACGGGGGCCCGCACAAGCGGAGGAGCAUGUGGUUUAAUUCGAUGAUACGCGAGGAACCUUACCCGGGCUUGAAAGUUAGUGAAGACUGUAGAAAUAUAGUCGUCCGCAAGGACACGAAACUAGGUGCUGCAUGGCUGUCGUCAGCUCGUGCCGUGAGGUGUUGGGUUAAGUCCCGCAACGAGCGCAACCCCUAUGUUUAGUUGCCAGCAUGUAAUGAUGGGGACUCUAAACAGACUGCCUGUGCAAACAGAGAGGAAGGAGGGGACGACGUCAAGUCAUCAUGGCCCUUACGUCCGGGGCUACACACGUGCUACAAUGGAUGGUACAGAGGGCAGCAAGCUGGUAACAGCAAGCCAAUCUCAAAAAGCCAUUCACAGUUCGGAUUGAGGUCUGCAACUCGACCUCAUGAAGUUGGAUUCGCUAGUAAUCGCGUAUCAGCAAUGACGCGGUGAAUACGUUCCCGGGCCUUGUACACACCGCCCGUCAAGCCAUGGAAGCUGGGGGUGCCUAAAGUCCGUCACCGCAAGGAUCGGCCUAGGGCAAAACUGGUAACUAGGGCUAAGUCGUAAC
rnacentral:rRNA from 1 species